GUGGGUGGGAAGGGGAGAGAGACAGACAGAGAGAGAGAGAGGCAGAGAGAGAGAGAGAGAGAGAGAGAGAGAGAGAGAGAGAGAGAGAGAGAGAGAGAGAGAGAGAGAGAAACAGAGAGAGACACAGAGACAGAGACAGAGAGGAAAGGUAGGGAGGAAGGAAGGAAGGAAGAAAAAGCCAACUCAGUCCCAUUCAGCUGCCUUCCCAUUCAGUCUAGGGUGGCAGGGAAUUUGUGAAUCUAGCUAAUAGCAACAUUCCUGGAAAACUGGCCCAUCGCUGAGCUUUCUUGUGAACUUCAUCCACCUGUCAUGUUGAGUCUUGGAGGAGAGCCAGGGCAGGCAGGAAAUAAUAGGCUGCAGGAUACUGGUGUGUGUCAGUGGCCCCGACCCUCCCAUUCCUGAACACAGAUGAGCUGGAAGUCUGGAAGACGUCACCGCUGCUGUGGCCCUCCAACUGCUAACCACCCAUUGGAAGCUCAGUGGUGUGCUGUAGGCAAUGCUAACCUCUCAGCUGGAAGUAGAGGAUACAGGGGACCUUUCAGCUUUGAAACAGGAAACUAUUAUGAAGUGUUUUGCCUUUCAUCUCUUGUUAUCCCAGCUUUUAAGCAUCCAUGUACAUCAAACUGUAUCACUCAUCUGAAAAUGUGAUCUUAUAACCCCUUCGCAAUGCACAAGAGUGCCACGUAUUCAUUACUGUCAUUUCAUGGUAACUUUGGUAUUUUACUUCUCAUUUAAGACAUGACACACAUGACCCACCAAAGCCAGAUGCUGUCUUUCUUACAGCAAUGAGUUUGAAGCUGAUCCAGCAGUUCUUAUGAGCUCCGUAUGUAAAUGUUAUAUGAGAAAACUGCCAACCUAGAAUACUAUGGCAGGACUACCAAUAGAUGUCGCUAGAGCAGGGGAUCAGGGCGGGCCCUAUGGCUGCAGUCAUCUAAACUGAUGAUGGGAACCACUUCACUACAGUAGUGGCUUGGUGCACGUGGAUAUUAAGUUGAAAUUAACAACUAAAUGGAAUUUAGAGCUCUGAUUCUUCAUUGAUGAACCAUAUUUCAAGUCUUCAAUCACCUUUUGUGGCUAUAGUAGCUAUUGUAUUGAUGGUGGGAGAAAUCUCUACUGUACAGUAGAGUUACAGAGGAAUGAAAUGAACAGCUCUGCACUAGGAUUGGCUGUAGUGUGAGAAGUGGGUUAAGUUGAAGGCACAGGAGUGAGGAGGAAGUAGCAUCCUCUUCCUUCCUCCCAUUGGAUGUGCAACUUGAGCACACUGCUCACACCCUCUUUCCAGUUUCUCUUUCUUAUACAAUACAUGUACCAUAUGACCUUGCUUCCCUAUGUAAUUCAGUGCUAAGGUGAAGUGAGACCUUGUGUACCAAGGGCUUAGCAUGAUAUCUGCACACCCAGCACACACUCAAGAGUCAGCUGUGAUUGUUCCUCGGGUUCUGUGCAUCAAAUAACCGUCACACACUGAGGUCUACUAGUAAGCUUGGUAGAAGAGGAAGCCCCAGGAGUGUUGGACAAAGUAGGACAGUUGUCACAGAAACGGGUAAAGACAAAGUGACGGUUGGCGAAAGAAACUAGUGUUAUCAGAAAAGGCUUCAACCAGCUGGCAAGCAACAGAAAACUUACAUGGGUUCAUUUGGUAAGGAAAUUAUCCUUCUAGCUGUCUAUGCUACUUCUCCGAUACCUUUUAUCCUCACAACUAUGUGAGUGGCUAUCCCAGGAACUCCAUCUGUAUACCUAGAAAGACAAAUGGGCCUUGCCUUUUCAUUUGGAAGAGGGCCACUGCCACACAGGCUCCGUCCAAUCCUGUUGACCAAAAGGAGUUCCUCACUGCCCUGAGCUGAAAGAUCAAGAGGAAGGGAUUUGGAAUGAACCACAUGAAACUCUUGGUAGUUGAGCAUUCUUACCAACAAAGAGACUGAUACAGCGCUAACUAGGAGUUGGACACAGAGAGUCCUUAAUGAAACUAGGAUUCUGUUACACAAGGACAAAGCAUAUCCGUUGGCAGACACCCACCACAGCACCACCUCCCACAGUCAUGCCUAUGUCAAAGCGCUCAUUGAACGCAACUGUAAUGGCAGUCAUGGAAAGAAGACGAAGGAAGAGGAGAAGGAGGAAGAGGAGGAGAAAUAAAGAUUCCUCAGUCGAGAACUACAAAGCUGAUAUUAAAAAGAAAAAAACCUACUCUAUUUAAUCUCAAAGUUCAUGGCACCUUGAGCAUUUUCACACACACACACACACACACACACACACACACACACACACACGAAAGCCCUCCUCCUUGGAAACAACACAGAAUUUCAAAGAAAGCACUGGGUUUGAGCAAAUGACAGCAUGUGCGGCUUAGUGAUGCUGAAAUGGACCCCAGCUGUGUGACCCUUUCCCAGAGGUCUCAGUCACAGCAGAAAUGAAAUGAGAUUGCACACAAGUACAGAGGAAGUGCAUUUGGGUUGUGUCAGUAGGAUUUAAUUCUAUUUCUGUGGCACCUUCUCCCCUUGGAGGAAAUGACUGUCUGCUUUCACACUGAGAGGAGACAGAAGAAACACUGAAGAGAGAAGGUGGUGUGUGUGACAGGGGGAGGCAUACUUUGGUAUGCUUUGAAUGUUAUAGUGUUCCUUCCUUUUAGGUUUUAGGUAGAUCUUUCCUUCCAAGGGAAGAAACUUCAUUAUAAUUAGAGACAACAAACCCACAGAUUUGUCUAAAUAGUGUGAAACUUCUCUUUUUAAAUGGCACUUGAAUUCCAUGAUUCACGCCUCAGAAGACAUUAUCUUUCCAGUUGCCUGGUAUAUUGUUAUUUAUUGUCAGUUUUAAUAAACAAUUUGGAGUUCCC
rnacentral:lncRNA from 1 species